GAGGCAGCAGUGGGGUCUCUUANNGGAGGCAGCAGUGGGGAAUAUUGCACAAUGGACGGAAGUAAGAAGCAGUGACGGUGNGUGAGCGAUGAAGGCCUUCGGGUCGUAAAGCUCUGUUCUUGGGGGNGAAAGGAUGACGGUACCCAAGGAGCAAGCCCCGGCUAACUACGUCACCGCAGCCGCGGUAAUANGUAGGGGGAGAGUUUUUUCGGGAAUUUGGGGGUAAAAAGGGCGUGUAGGGGGGUGAAAAAGUCAGGUGUGAAAGGCCCCGGCUUAACCGGGGUAUCACACAAGAAAGUGUUCGGCUUGAGUGCAGGAGAGGGAAGNGGAAUUCGUAGUGUAGCGGUGAAAUGCGUAGAUAUUAGGAGGCACCCCAGUGGAGAAGGGGACCUUGUCGACUGUAACACACGGUGAGGCGAGAAAGCGGGGGGCGCANACAGGAUUAGANCCCCNGGUUGUCCACGCUGUAAACGAUCNUACUA
rnacentral:rRNA from 1 species